CACUGAGACAGCAUACAUCUGGUCUGGCUGACUUGGAUUUCCAGGGUCCAAUUCAUCUGGUUCCAGCUGCUCCAACAUCUCUGUUCCCAUUGCAUUGUUUGGGCUCUCCAAUCUUCGUCUGUUGAUUCUGGGUAUUCCACCGCUGAAGACUAGGCAGAAUGUCCAGUACCCUGUCUUCUCUCUGCAAAGGACCUGUUCAUUCAUGGCUGCUUGCAUUUUGACUUUCCCAUUAGAUGAAUCAUUCAAGUCAAGUGGCAAGACCAAAGUCAGGAUGCCUGGUUAUGGCUCAAUAUGCAGUGGAUAACUUUGGAAUCUUCAAUGUUAACCAAGCUCUAAGUACUCUACAAAACCUGCUUCAAACACCUUCAUGGCUACUUGAACAAAGUGUCCUCAUCUGCCAUUCCACUGAGGGAAGUCUUUCCAUGUUUGGGGUAGAUACCCUUCUAACUCACUAAUGGGUUUGAGGCCUGCCAGUUACUCUCAUUCUGGUUUAGCCUAUCUGCUGAAAUAGUUUAUGCCAGGAUGUGGCUGCUACACAUGCUACAGCUUCUUGAAGCCACAGAUGAGAGUUAAGUUAAGGUGGACACCAAAAGAAGAUGAAUAGUCCUGAAAAGAGCUUAACAAGCCCUCACACCAGAAACGUUCAUCUUCCAUAAACACCUUGUACAUACCAACAAAGAUAAUAUUGCAUAGUAGAAAAACCAUUGAAUUCAGAGUUAGAAAUGACAGAUAUGAAUCCUGCUUCUACUGCUUAAUAAGUAUAUGAUCUUGGACAAAUCACUUAACUUGUCUGGACCUGAGUUCCCUCAUUUGUAAAAUAAGAAGUUAGACUAGAAGACUAUAUACCAAGUUCCCCUUCAACUAAAAAUCCUAUAAUACUGUAAAAUCAAAACAAUAUUUACCUUUUUUCCAGUUGCUGGGCAUGUCUCCUAAACCCCAUAAUUCCUCAUGAUCAUUUAAUAAUAGUUCAUCAAACACAUACCUAUGAUUUGAAAGAAAUGUGGGAAAGUUUCAAUGGCAUUACUUGGAGUGAAAAAAAAAAGCAGAAACAAAAGAAUACUAUACACAAUUACUAUAACAUACACAAUAACACCAAAUCCUUCAACUUAAGACCACAAAAAAGUAAUGUCAAAAAGAUCUAGAAAAUAAUACAUAAAAUGUACUACUAUGUUUAAGUUGUUGACUGGAAAAAACACAGAACGAUUAAAUAGUCAAAAUCACUCUUUAAUCAAGGGAAAGGGGUUCAGUGCAAUAGUAGGCCUUGACACACAGCUGCUCACCACACAACUACACAGAGUCCGAGGACUGAACUCUGGCUGCUCUGGACACUGACCCCCGGGAAAGGAAGUCAGGCUAGAUUGGACAAUUCUACACAAUGCAUGGCUCGAACCUACAACCCUGUCUCAUACCCUACCAAGUGAGCUUGAGGGUGGGGGGUGAUGGUUUUACAAUGGGCACAAAAGGGAAAGACCCAGCCAAGGGCUGGACCCACCUUAGCAAAGAACUUUUAGCCUAAGGGGAGAAACCAUUGGGACUAAAGAGAUAUUUAAUAUCUUAAAGUCUAUUGUUAGUCUGAGAUCAGUGAAGUAGGACCUUCUCUCUGGGAGGAACUCUCAUGUGACAAGGUCAAACCUGGGUUUUCGACCUCCAAGCUAAAUAAACUGGGGACCACUAAAUCUUUCUAAGCUACAAGAUUGGGGACGUCUAGAUUCCACAUUGACAAAGUCAAUAUAUAAAUUUUUGGGGUAAAGAUAGUAGAAGUAAAUAGAUUCAUGCACAAUCACUUAUCGUUUCCUUUUUGUUUAAUUUUAUUUGCUCAUUCCUUUUUCUGGGCUCUUCUUUCUAGAUUUGAAUACCUAAACUUGUCAAUGGAAGAUAAAAUAAAGUUCAUUUCAAAAAAUAAAUAAAUAAAAUGAAGGUGAAGGGAUUGGAUCAACUUGUUUCUAAGGUCCCUUCUAGCUCUCAAAUUCUAGUUAGAAAACUAAUUAACUAGUUCAGGUUAUGCCUCUAACUCACCAGGUCACCUUGAGCAAGUUAUUUCUGACUCAAGUUUUCUCCUCUGAAAAUGAGGAGGUUGAACUAGAUGAUUUUUAAAGUUUCUUCCAAUACUAACUAACAUUCUAUAGCAGGGGUCCCCAAACUUUUUACACAGGGGGCCAGUUCACUUUCCCUCAGACCAUUGGAGGGCCAGACUAUUAAAAAAAAAAAAAAACUAUGAACAAAUCCCUAUGCACACUGCACAUAUCUUAUUUUAAAGUAAAAAAAAAAAGGGAACAAAUACAAUAUUUAAAAUAAAGAACAAGUAAAUUUAAAUCAACAAACUGACCAGUAUUUCAAUGGGAACUAUGGACCUGCUUUUGGUUAAUGAGAUGGUCAAUAUCCAGUUCCAUAUUUGUCACUUCUAGCUAUAACAAGUGAUGCAAGUGUGCAUCAGUUAGUCUAGAUCUGGUUGGAGAUUUCAGAUGUUUCAUUCUGGAAGAAGUCUGUUCACAGAUAUAAGCACUGCCAAAGAUGGCUGACAUUUUGAGUGCAUGGUUCCUGAGAUUAGGAUAUGUCUCAGAGGGGAGAGAUGCAUAGAAAUUAGGCAAACUGCUUCACUUGAAUGAGUCUUUCAGAGUCACAAUUCUGCAGUUCAGCCAGUUUCAUUUGGUAAAUUGUAUCCUGAAGUGCCUGGUUAAUUGAUCCCAAGGAUGAAACAAUGACUAACAAUGUAACACACAGGAGGGAGUUUAUUAAACAAACUGCAGUUGGGCUCAGCACUCUAAAAAAUGGCUGGAACCCUAAGUCUGGAGCUUGUAGGCUUUUUAUACUGGAAUAGUAGGGCAAGUGCACAAGAAUUCCUGGGGUGGGGGGAGUGAACAGGAACUCCUAGGGCUGGAGAUCCUUAUCAGUUAGGGUCAUUAUCAGUUCCUGGAGUGGGGUGACAGGAACUCCUGGGACUGGGUUGUUAUCCAUUCCUAGCACAUUCCAGGGUAUGGUAACUGGUCCUUCAUUAACUUGACUGCAGGGGCUCCAGGGGCAAGGGGGUCAGGGAGAAAAGGGCUGGUCCUUCAAUCCACAUUUUCAAUGUCAAUAAAAAAUGGGUUAUGGAAAAGCUGUAUGUCUUGUUCAUAGAGAUGAAGCUCUUUAAAUCUUAUUUAGAACUCCUUUUCCAACUUUUCCAGUGAAUCCACACAUGUUUCUUUUGGGAAUGCAAUCAAGGGUUUUUCCACUAACAGAUUUUGAGUUAAGGGGAGAUGGGAGAAAUUUUCCUCCUUCCCUUGUUUAAUAAGGGAGGUCUAAUUUUACUUCAAAUGCUUUCACAUGUGAUUGCAUAUCACAAAUAAGGUUCCCUUUUCCUUGAAGUUGCCAUUGAAACUGUUGAGUAGCUCUGACAUCUGUCAUAAGGGUGAGGUGCCAUUUCCAUUCUUCAUCAUUGAGCUCUGGUACUUCUUUGUUUUUUGAAAGCAUAAAAGCUGUAAUCUGUGGAAAUAAGUCAUAGAAAUGUCUCAAAACUCUCCCUCGACUCAGAUAAUGGACUUCUGUGUGAUACAGAACAUCUUCAUAGGCAACAUUUAGCUGAAACAGAAAUUCCUAAAAGUGUCUGUGGUUUAUUGCAUUAGCUCUAAUGAAAUUAACACAAGAUACCACAAUUUUCAUAACAGAGUCCUGCUUCAAUGAUUUUCUAUAUAGCAGCACUUGUUGGUGGAUGAGUCAGUGUAUGGCUAUUGGAUGAGAAUGGUUACACUUGUCCAUCUUUUGAUUAAUGUGAGCAAUUACUCCUUUCUUAGACCCCAACAUGCUAGGAGCACCAUCAGUCGUCACACUGGCUAGUUUAGCCCAGUCCAGUUCCAAAUCCUUCACAGUUUAGGAAACCUUUUCAUAGAUAUCCUCUCCUGUAGUUGUUCCUUCAAUGCUUUGCAGUUAUGAAUUUUAGGUUUUCUAUACCCUGCUUAGUCCUUAGAAAUUUAGCAACCAAGGAAUGUAUACACCCCCACUUAAGGAUUAACUGUGAGGAGGAUGGUCUAUGACUGACAUGUGCUAGCAAGUGACAAAUCAGAAACAACUGACAGAACCCCUGGGCUGUCCUAAGUCAAGCUUAAGCUACCAUUGGUACAUGUGAGACACAGGAAGUGAUGUAAAGAAUGGCCUAUAUAUUUCGCGUCACUUUCUCUCUCUGGCCUCUCUCACAGAGACAUGGCUCUCGCUCUUGCUCUCUCCCAGAGAAGUGGAUCUCUAUUUGGCUCAUGUGGCUUGUGGUAGCAUGCUGGAUGUCUUGGUGGUUUGGGGAUUGUAGUUUGCCAGUGAGGUGGCUGGGAGAAGCUCUGUAGUGUGGGUUAGGUGAGGCAUCUUCCCUGAGCAUCCUUGGUGAGGUAACUGAUUUCUCCUUUCCUUCUUUCCUUUACCUCCUGAAAACAUUAUCCUCCUAGGAGACCCCUCAUCUCGGAGGAGGUCUUGUGGCUGGUAGCUGAGCUAGAUUGAGAAGGCUCCUUGGCCUAGGCUUCUAAACUCCUGCCUGGCUCAGCCUGGACUGGAACAGUUUAAAUUCUCUUUCCUCUCUCUCUCUUCUUCUUAAUUUCUUCCCUCUAUUGUAAUUAAACCACCAUAAAAAAAAAUCCCAACUUGAGUAUUUUAUUGGGAUUGAAUUAAUCCCUGGAAACCACUAGUAUAAUAUAUUCAGUUAAUAACCCCUAAAUUUUACCCCUUACACAGUUCAGCAAGCUCUUCUGUGACUUUGAAAUUGUUAUUUGUCCCACAAAUAAAAAUUGAAGUCAUACAGAAUCACGAACAUCAUUGCUCUCGUCAAGUGCCAAGGAAAAAUAGGAAAGUUUUCUUGCAGAGUUUUGUAAAUGCUGAUGUAAAUUGUCUCCCAUUUAUCCAAUCCUUCGUGUAAUUGUAGAUCCUGAAAGACUAACUAUACUAAAUAAGUCUGCCUUUUCUGGACACAUCUCUUUGGCAAGAGAAAGAAGGCACUCUUUAACAAAUUCUCCCUCCACAAAUGGUCUGCCAAUGCACGCUAUUAGCUUGGCAACUUGAAAACUUGCUCACAGUGAUGAAAUAUUUAGCUGCUUCUGCUUCACAAAAGUCUUUGGCUGAGUUGUCAAUGUAUUUUUCAAUUUUAAUAUUUUAUCUUUUCUCAUAUCUCUGACCAAACAAUCAUAUUUAUCUUUAUGUUGAGAUCGAUAGUGUCAAUGCAAAGUAUAUUCUUUUAACACAGACACUAUAUUCUGGCAGAUCAAACACACAGCUCUUUCCUUAUACUUGUAAAGGAUAAUUUAGCAUUGUGACCUAAACUAUAUUAAUUAUUUGGUCGCCAUGGAUAUCCCAAAUAUAAAAGAAAUAUAACCAAGUCAGCUGGAAAUUUAUGGUGAUUUAAUUUGUAUAGUGGAAAGAAAUUAAGAAGAAGGAAGAAGGAAAAGGGUGUAGGAUUUCUCCCACCUGGCUAGUGCCAGGAGGAAGACCAGAGGCUCCAGAAGAUGAGGUUUUGAAGAGGAAGGAGGAAAGAAUCAGCCUGAACUCCAAAGGGCUCAGCCAAGAUGCCUGAACUUGAAUCAGCUCAAGGGCAAACUCACCGCCAAACCCAGACAAUAGCUGCCACCAUGCCAAAAUGUCGAAAAGCUUAGCAUGCUGACAGCCAGAGUCACCUUUCCGAGGAAAGCGAGAGAGAGAGCAAGUGAUGUGCCUUAUAUAGAUGGUUUUACAUCACUUUCCUGUGUCUAAUCUGUACCAAUCUGCUUAGCUUAACUUAGGAUAGUCCAGGGGUCUGUCUGCUUUUUCUGCACAUGUCUGUUGAAGGCCAUUUCCUCAGAUAAUUAAAUCUUUGAGUAUGGUGCAGGCAUUCCUGAUCUUGUUAAACUAAGUAGGGUGGAGAAAUGUAUAGUUCCCAAGACUUGAUUCUGUUAAACCAAGUAUCCCCAUUGUUACUACUCAGGAAAUAGCUAAAUCAGAUCUUCUAAAGUAUGGCCUGAGAAGGGUGGAGUAGUUUUAAAAUUCACAUACUACAUGAAAAAGUAAUCAUAAGUCCACUGUUCUUUGAAUAUUGUAAAAAAUAGACUUGAAUACAAGACUACAAUCCCCACAAGCCUUUGCUCCACUUCCCCAAAAUGCUUUGUAAUCUCACGAGAAUUCUGAGGUGGGCAGAGAUCGAGGAAGGAUUUAAGCUGGUGGCAAAAGUUUUUGGGUCUCUUUUUUUUGGACUUCCGUUUUGGAGCAGAGGCGUUUCUUCUAUGAUGUGAGGUUGUUUUGUCUAGGCCUCUGGCCUAGGCACAUGUUUCUUACUUGUAUAUUCUUUAAUCCUUAAUCCUUAAUAAACCUCUAAAAAAUAUAAUACUCCUUGCAGAGAGAAACUAAUUUCUACCUGCCUCAGUCUCCCCAUAUUCCUAAAUUUUAACUGUUACAGUUUUUGGCGACCACUAGAUUGGAUGAGAACUUCUCAAAUGUUUUAGCCUAGAUAAUGAUUUUUUUAAAGUCAUGUAUCUCCAAGAUGCCUUUUAGAAAACUAUCUUGAUCAGCUCCUGCCUGCAGCCCUCUCCGGCUCCUGCUUCUGCUCCUGGCCUCUCACCUGGUGCCCGAGCUGCCAGCCCUGUUUGUCUGCACUCUGGCUCCCGGCCCUACCCACCCCGGAGGUCUGUCUCUCACCCAUCUAGCCUCCGACCCAGACGGCUCAUCACCCAGAUCCUUGGAGCAGAUUGCUCAGGACUCAUUUCGACCAGCUGGUAACAGUAUUGGCCACGUGGGCGGAGGGGAGAGAUGUGAGGGAAAGGAGAAUGGGCAAUUUUCCCUUAGGCUAAGCCUCCGAGUGGAUGGGGGUAUUGACUCCAUGUGGGCGGCCUGGGCUCCACGUGGACUUGGGCAGGAGAAGGUAUCAGAGCAGGGGAGAGAGAAAAGGGAGAGGAGAAGAAACAGAUUUUUCAAACAAAAACUUAAUAGCAAUGGGCUGUUUAAAAGGAUACCUUUUGACUCUUCUGGUAAUUUCAUUGAUUUCACCUGCGUGCCAGAAGAAAGAUUCAGCCCAAAGAUUCAACUUUGGGGAGGCAAAUGGGUGGCUCAAUGGACUGAGAGCCAGACAUAAAGACAUGCGGUCCUGGGUUAAAAUCUGGCCUCAGAUACUCCCCAGAUGUGGGUCCCUGAGCAGACCCCUUAACCCCCAUUGCUUAGUCCUUGCCACUCUGCCUUCUGACAAUAGGCAUUUAAAUGGAUAAGAACCCAAUGAACCUUGAAGAGACUAAAGGCUAUAUUCUAAGGCAUUUCAGACUCCAAUGGGUUAUAAAAAUCUGUAUUCUAUUGCAUUUUUUGUUAUGGUUUAACUUUGUGAUUUUAAGUUCAUAUGUUACUGGAUUCAAUAUUCUCUUACACUGAAGGUUGAUUGAAUUUAUUUUGAAUGUACUGAGUUUUGAAAUUCUGUUGUUUUCCCCCUAUAACUGUGCUAAACAAAUAUUAUUGUAAUUAAGCCCAUAUGAAAAAAAUAGUUUUUAUAUUUUGACUUUGUAAAUUAUCACAUAGAUGGACUUCAGAACUGGUUACAAUUGCUAUAACAACCUUGGAAAAUUUAAUGUGCUAAAUAUCUCAAUGAUUUUAAGGGUUUUUUUAAAUAUGAUUUUUGUAAUUUUUUUUAACAAUCUCUGGUUAUUUUUGCCUGCCCCUACCGCGAGGUAAGGCCAAUAGUAGCUGAAGUGAAAUACAUUUUAUAACCCCCAACCUUCCCGCAUUUCUAAAUAUGUGAAUGGAAGUCUGGGCAGUUAAUCUCAGGGCAUUUGUAUCCCUAUAAGCCUCCAAGAAAAAGGAGCAUCCCUUUAUUUAUACUCUUCAGCUCACUACUUUACUUCUACCAGAAUGAUAUAUAGAUUUCUUGAUUAUGUUCUUAACCCAAGAUGAGUUUUACUUUGUUUUAAAAAUAUGUUUAAAUACCAAGGUUGAAAGAUUGCUACGUUUGUAAAAAUUGUGACAAAUGUCCAUCAAUUCAUAGGUUUUAAAAAUGUCAUACAGCAACUUAUGUGAAAUAUGAAAGUGUGUUUGUUUGCUAUUGUAAUUAAUUGGGCUAUUGAGAAUUUUGGGGAUUUUGAUACCUACAUAUUUGUACUACUGUUCAAUUCAUUUGCCUUCUACUCACAGUGAGCAUGGCCAGAUAUUAAGAGGAAAUGGAUCUCAUUUUUGGUGAGAAAGCCUUGCAUUUUAUAUUUUCUUAGCUGACACAGAGUGUCAAUGAUUAUAAGCUAUAUUUUUGAAUUUUUUAAAGCUCCUUUAUUAUUAUAUUUUUCUUGCAUGUGCAAUAUACUAUUUCAGUUUUUUUUCUCUCCUUUUUAUAUUUGAAGCACAUGUCACCAGCAUUAAGAUUUUCUUUAACCUUUUGACUUUUCAGUGCUACAAGUUUAAGAUACAUUUCCUAAUGCUUGCCCUAAAAGCUUGUGACUAUAAAAAUGAUACCACUAAUUAUUUAAAUAAAUUAUGGGACUUUGCUUAAUGAUUCUGUCUGAUUCCAGGACAAGAUAUACACACAAGAGCCAUUUCACAGAGCCAAAGAAAAGCCAAUCCAGGAUGGAUUGAUGCACGUCUAGGCCAAUACAAAGGUCUUGAACCUAGUGUGAAGACUCAAGGUUACUAUGUUUAUCAUUGCUUGACAUAGGCUUUCCUUGUAUCCACACUCACUCUGAAAAUACUCACAGACGAGUAUCCCCAAAACCUUGGCUCCUAUAAUCUGGUCCCCUUUUCUGCCUUCCAUAGUGUGGUACCUUUCUGUAGUCCUGGCUAUUGACUGGGUAAAUGCAUCAUUGCUUAGAUCAUUUUGAUUGGGCCCUGAUUCAAGGACCUGUUAUAGAUUUAUUUUUCUUUCAUUUGUAAUUUUUACACAUAAGACUUUGAUAGUCUAUAUUUUCAUUCAGAAAUUUUUCUUUUCUUUUGGAUUUUUCUGAUGUUUUUGUUCAUUUCUCUUACCAAUUGAUUCAUAUACCUCAUACCUCAGCCAUGCAUCCCUAAGUGAUCCUGUAUUUGUCAAUCACCCUCUAAAUGGGGGGAAUGUAAAAAAUAUCAUUACAUAAAUUGCAAAGUUUAAAUUCCUUUUGAGAACAAUUUUAGGUAAAGAAGAUGCUACCUCUCUGAAUCCAGAACUGAACUGUUGGAGAAGCCACCAUGAAGAAGCCUCCAGACCACAAGUUGCACAAAAUUGAACUUUGGGUAUGGUUGAUUGAACAUUUAUUUGUAUGUAUACUUUUAUGCCAAAGGGGACUGCCCCCUAACUGACUUUCUGUUAAUGCGUCCAGUAAUUAUUGGUUUUGUUCUUUUUUUUCUUAUCCUCAAAUUUUUGUAAUCUUUAAAUUGAUUAUGUUUUUAUGAUCCUUUGGGGAAGGACUUCUUCCCAGAGGAUCAAACGGGGAAAUGUAAAAAAUAGACUCGAAUACAGGACUACAAUCCCCACAAGCCUUUGCUCCACUUCCCCAAAAUGCUUUGUAAUCUCACGGGAAUUCUGAGGUGGGCGGAGAUCGAGGAAGGAUUUAAGCUGGUGGCAAAGGUUUUUGGGUCUCUUUUUUUUGGACUUCCGUUUUGGAGCAGAGGCGUUUCUUCUAUGAUGUGAGGUUAUUUUGUCUAGGCCUCUGGCCUAGGCACAUGUUUCUUACUUGUAUAUUCUUUAAUCCUUAAUCCUUAAUAAACCUCUAAAAAAUAUAAUACUCCUUGCAGAGAGAAACUAAUUUCUACCUGCCUCAGUCUCCCCAUAUUCCUAAAUUUUAACUGUUACAAUAUCCUACAUUUCGAGUCAAUUUUUCUCUUUCUUGGUAUAAUUGUUUCCUAGGGAUUCCAAAUUGUUAUUAGUAAAAUACAUACAUAUAUAUGUAGCCCUACAAAAACAAUGCAGCCUUCCCAGUUCAUAUCAUUUCAGCCUCACCAGUAGCCAUAUUGGUGGAACUCCACUUUUACCUCAGGCUCACACUGGUGUGGUCCAGGAACCAGCACAAUUACAAAUUUUGUUCCUCCACCACCUUUCCAGUUCAUACUACCCUGUGUGAACUGCACUACGAUCUGUGAACUCAC